rnacentral:misc_RNA from 1 species
UUUAAUUUUUUGUCAGUUUCAGAUGUCAAGAGGAUCAUGGAUAGAAAUCCAUCAACAGCAAUCAGUUUAGCUGUGGAAAAUAUGCUGAAAACCGGAAGACUUGUAACACAAACUGGCCUAGACUUACAGCAGAGAGCUGGUUACACAGUUCAAGCAGAGAGGCUCAAUUUUCUACGUUUUCUUUCCUUUUUCCGGGCUGUGCAUCGAGGGGC